AGGCUGUGUCUGACGAAGCAGAGCAGCGUUUUGUUCUCUCGCAUCUCCCUGCAGCAUCGUAAAGCUGUUGAAAGCUCAGAUUUAUGGUGUGAUAAACGCUAGGGGCUCUGCUGAAUGUUUUACUGCUCCAUCCUUUGGAGAGCAGCGGGGAGAGCCGGGCGGCACACCCAGCAGCAUCGCUGCCCGGCUCCAGCUGCAGGACAGCGCAUCCCAUGGGAUAGGGAUGGGGAUGGCUGGGAGCCGUGCUGUGUCCCAGGGUUUUGCUGUAAAUCAACACAAGCUCCCCCCCCCCCUCCCCAGAGCAUCCUCCCUCUGCUGCCGUGGGUGAUACCAGCUGGAGGAGCCCCCCCAACUUCCCCUUUGCUAUCGCCCUGCCAUGAGAACGGGGAUGAAACCGGGUACCACUGCUCAGCAAAGCCCUGUGUGGUGGGGACCCUGCUCUCAUGGGGAGCUGAACCUCCCCACAGAGCCACUUCUUAGGGUCCCUCCGUAAAACCACCCACCACAACCUCCCCCCGAGGCGCAGCGUGGGAGAGCAGCAUCCCCAAGGGCCUGCCACCUCCCAGGAUCAGGGAGCCGGGAUGCUGCUCCCCCAUCCCAAACCACAGCCGCGGGAAAAGAGGGGUUUGCUCUGGAUCUUUGCUCGCUCUGAGCCCAGCAUCCUCCGGGCUCAGGUGGGAUGGACUAGUGGGCAUCCCUGCAUCCCCCCCUGGUUAUGGGGAGGGGAGAAGGCUGUUGCCCCCCAGCUCCUGGGCUGAGUGUGAGUGUUUACUCUCUGCCUUUCUCACCGCUCGCAGCGUGGCAGGAGUUAUUCAAAGGCGGGCGGAAGCGAGCGCAGCAACUGAAACAACAAUGAAAAGGAAACGGAGCUCGGAAAAUUCUCCGUUCAUAAAUCAAGUGAACUGCAGGUGAUCCCUGGCCAGGAGAGAGCCAGGGAAAAGGCAUGGAUCAGCACGGCCACUGGCCUGGAAGCAGGGACGGGGGUGGCUCUGGGUGAUGCUGGGGUUGCGGUCUGUGUCCCUGCACACUGGGGGCUUUGGGGCAGGUGAGGUGCAAGCACCACUGCGCUCAUUUAUAACACCUGUGAGCAAAUCUGGGUGUGAGAGGUGAAGGGGAAGCUGCUUUCUGCAGUGGGGAUAGCGUCACACAGACAUGUACAUGCACAUACAUGCAGCCAUGCCACAGCCGUGCUGCAGCCCCUCGGGGCUGGCAGAGUGGGGCCAUGGAGUUAUUGUGGUGCUCAAUGGGAUGCAGAGCAGCCCACCGGCUCUUUUUAUCUCCCCUGCAGCUUCACGCCUGCUUUUUGGGGUGAAACGCAUCACUUUGGAAGCAGAGGAUGCUGGAAAAGGAGCUGCUGUCUUGGGACGGUCUCCUCUGUGCUGGCAGCAUCCCUGCAUGGGCAUGGAUGGAAAAAUCUCCCCCCCACACACCAGGUCCUGCAGCAUCUUGCUGCUGGUGAGAUGGGGACCAGUUUGGACCAGGCAUCCCCUCCUCACUGUCCCCUCUUUGCCAGCCCCUGUAAGCUGAGCCCCGACCUCAGGGACACCAAAAAGCAGCUCAGUGAAUGUGGGAUGGGACCCGAGGACCAGGCUGGUGGCAGCAGGCUGAGCCUUACAGGAGAGGGAAGGAUCUGGUCGUGAUCCCUGCACUGGGAAAGCCGGGUGGGAUCCCAUGUCCCCCUCUGCGUCCCCCCUUCCGCGCGUUCCCUGUCAUCUUGUCUUUCGGCUGAGCUGGAAAACCGGGAGACCACCGUAAAUAAACCCUGUGUCUUUAA